UCAGAACAGUGUCCUCCUGUUAGAAACCACUGAACAUGGAAAGCAGUUAAAAUAGUCUGGUGUAUGGAUUAAUUGCCUGCAUUUGAAGAAAAACUUCUGAUUGCUAAAAAGCUACUGCCUCUUUGUAGGACAUGUGAAUAAAGUCAAAGAGCUGUGUGGCAUUGGCAGCAUUGCCCAAAAUUUUGUGGCAGAUAAACUUACUGGAAUUCAACCAGAGUGGACCAAGAUUUCAGUCAGCCACUCAAUAAAAAGACAAAGACAUCUCCUAACCCUUGAUUGUGUGGCUGCAUCUGAUUUGCCUGAAGUGUGGGAACACGAUGCUGCUGGUAGAUACAACACAUGCUGAUUAGGCAAUUAAAAAAAUAAAUUGGACAAAUAACCCAGUAAUUCUCCUCAUGCAAUAAACCUUAUGAGUUCUGCCAUUUGUAUCUUCACUAGAGUCCUUACCUGGCUAUCAGUUUCUGAAUUGUUGAUCUUCAGGAUGACCCGACAUCAUGAAAUAUGAAAGUUAAUUAAAUCUAAAAUGAUGAAGCUUAUUGUGUAAAAAUUGCACCUACAGAGAUGGUUUAAAAUGAGACUAGAGCACCUCAAAGUAGACCUAUUGACACUAAGAUCAUCUAAGCAGAGGCCUUGUAGAGUGAUCUUCCCCUAAGGUCUCCAGGUAUGUUACUGCUGUUAAGGGACUAAAUACCUGCUGGGAGGUAAAAAUUAUCUCUGGGCUACCUCAGACAGUAUGCUUUUGUUUAAAAUUAAGAGGGCUGGAUUAAAAGGUAUCAAAAAAAGAAAAAAAAUCAGGAGAUGUGUCUUCUGCCUUGACUUUAAAUUACCCUGACCAAAUCAACUUACCUCAAAGGUUUCCCAGGCCUGCUUGCCUUGUAGAUUUCCAGCUGCCGAACAAAAGUUAGUUCUGCAUCAUAUAACACAACAUAUCUUGGUUCUACUUCGUGCAGGACCCGAGUGAGUGCAUAGGGAUCACUGCACCCCUGCAAUGGAUGGAUAAUUGUGAGUGGGUUCUUGAAAAUCCCAUAGUAACAGUCUGAGGGCAAGUUUACAUGGAAAUCUUCAGGAAUGGUCUCUUCAGCACUGCUGUCUUGGCUACUGCUUAAUUCUUUGUUAUCUUCCACCUCUAAAUCCUCUUUCUUUUCCUCCUCGGUUUUCCCUAUCAUUUCAGUUAUAGUCCGGUCUUGCUGCUUCUUGUGUUUAUUUUGUUUUGAAGAAGCUGUGAGUUUGGCUUUUUUAGUUUGAGCCCCUGUGUCUAGUCUGGCAUUUCCUUUCGACUUGACAGCUUUUCUGUCCUUAACCAACACUUCUGCAGCUUUCUCAUCCUUUCCAAAGGUUUGGUUAUACAGUCUUGUUAAAAACGCUUCUGCUCCGGCAAUAAUACACUCCCUGAGCUGUGCGCAAGCUCGAUCAUCACUGGCACAAAUAAGCACUUGCCCUGCAGUCAAGAAACAACACCACGUUUACAAUCUGUUGCACUGUACUUCUUAUACAGCUACAAGACAUCUCUUGAGCAAAUUGUUUUCAAUAAUACUAGAAGCAUGCCUGCCAAAUGUUUUUACAUUUUCUUGUCAUAGUUUCGGUGGACUUUCAGGGAGUCUGAAUUGUAUGAUGUUUUGUACCAAACAAGGUUAGAGAAGGAUAAUGGAAGUUCAUCAUUCCUUAUUCUUACACUGUAUAAAUUAGUGAGGUUUUCCUGUUGACCAUCUGAAAUGAGGCAGAUUUAGCACAUGCUAGGAAAACUGAGUUUUUUUUGAAAUGUGAAAUUAGACAGAAAUUAAUGUAGAGUAUUCUAAUUUUCAGCAUUUUUUAGCUGUGUUAAAGAGUCUAAAAAAAUACACAGUAUUAUUGACAUUUGUGGGCCUUUAACAGCAAUUCUCCACAGCUGACUCAGAUAAACUCCUACAACACUAGGUGAAAGAGACAGUUCUUACCCAGUCAGAACACCGUGGGUGGGAGAAAAGAGUACUUUUUUACCAUUACUAUUUCCUAAAAUAAAACUUGGCAAAAUUUAAGGGGAUGAAAAGUCUUAAAACAGGAAAGGCAGCAAAAUGCAUAGAAAUAAACUUGCCUUCUACUGUCUACCCUAUUUAGGUGCAUUUCCUGGAGAACCAAAAUUUUCAGGUGCACAAGAGCAAUGUGUGAGAUGGAAACAGCAUAAAACAAAACUCCCAUCUUUUUUAAACCUUCACUUGAGCAAUGAUUGGAUGGUACCUUGAUUAUAAAUUAGCACAUUACUAAUAUUAUUGGGUUUGAGACCAAGGUAUCUGUACAAUAUUGAAAUCUAAGUAAAAAUGUGUAUUCAUUAGACAUUCUUUCCUUAACAGUAUUGCAUAGUAACCAGCAGCAUUUCUCUUUCAGAGCAAGAACAAAAUCAGAGUUUAUGUAGAACUACUUUGUUUUUACAUAGGUGAUGUACAUACGUACAUAACCUUGAUUUAAGUCCACAAAUUAUUCAACUUAAAACUAGGUCUUUAACAAAACUACAAUCUCUACUACAGUAAAGAGUUGGUUUCCAUCUCUCAAAAGUCAAGAAGUAAAAAAUAACUACACUGUGGAAAUUUACAUAGUUUAGAAUUCUCUUACCUGGACCACCAAGGUCUUCACUGUUGUUAUUCUCAUUUUCAAUUUCUUUCAGUACUUCUCUCAAAGCUUCCCAUUUUGGGUUACUUUCUAGAACCAGUUCUUUUUUCAGUUCUGAAACAAAGAGAAAUUGAAUGUAGCAACUCUUACAGCCAAAAUAUCCUUCAACACUUUAUAGUAGUGGUUAAAUGUCAAUAGCAUGAUGGAUACUGGCAAAUACAGUAUUCAAUAGCAUACAUAGGCAGCUUGCUAUGUUAAUGGGCUGGAGAGCACUCUUACAGAAACAUUUAAAAAUGGGGAUAAGUGCUCUGACGAAGCAGAAAGUUGAAAAUGUUAACUCAUACUUCAAUUCUCAAACUUCUGAAUAUACAUGGUUUUAAUAAAAGCACUGGUACUCCCCUACUUGCUCACAUAAAAUAAAAAAGAUCUAGCUAAUAAUCAACAUAAUUCAAGAAAAAUUCAACAGAAGCUCUCCCAAUGAACAGCUGAGCAAGCUUAGAACCACUCCUUACUUCUUCAUGACUCUAUCUAGACUUCCACAUUGUUUAUCAUAUGCUUGUUGAACUAGAUUAUGUCUCAACUUAAUCCAGCUAACAGACUGGGCUGUGCAAGAUCACAUAGGAAACCAGAGCAGAAGUAAUAAUAUGCAGAGCAUUUGAAAUCGUGUGACACUCUCAGACUUAAAAUUAGGAACGUGACUCCAGAAGAUGAAGGAAAGUGACACAAUCAUACUGAGUUAGAUACAGUAGCAAAGUGCGUAGUAUCUUCAAAUCCUGGACCAAAGAUUUUGUCUUAGCUCCAAGUUGAUGCCAGAGAGGAUCUAAAUAGUGACGUAUUGUCUAGAAAUACAAAUUGGAAAGUUCAAGAUGUCAAAUCGAUAGUAUACUAACCAAGAUAAGAAGGCAUGUUUUUUUUUUCCUAUACAGGAAAUGCCACUACUUAACUAAAGUUACUAAGCAUACCCAAUUAAAUAUGUGAUGGGGAGGUAUUUGUUUUGAGAAGUAAGGUUUUUACUAAGUUAGCAUAAUUUAGAUGCCUUGCAUUGUGCUUUAAGUAUAUAGUUUCCUUUCCAUGUAAUAACAAAAUACUAGCAAAAUUUAAAAGCAGAUAAUACAUUACUGGUAAUGGCCUGUGCCUUUAAUAUCUAGCAUCCUUUACUCAGGUAAGGUAAAAGCCAUUAUCACGUCAUAUGAUUUUUAAAAUGAGUACCAUACAAAUACGCAACCUACAGCACACAAAGGGAAAAAAGCCUCCAAGAAUUUAAAGUACAGAAGGCCUCUCUCCAAGAUGAAAUCACAGGUUAAGAAGUAAGCAUAUUUCACUAUGAUGGUUGAAGUUUAUGAUUUUACUCUGCAGAAAGGAUAUGUAUGUCAAACACUGCCAAUCUGCCAAAAGUAACACUGCACAAUUAAUGGCAUUUAUAAUGACAUAAGAUAUAAGAUACAGCAGAUGCAUGUCUGUGAAUAUAAUGCAAUCUAUAUGGUGCUCCUUCUAAUAGACAAAAAAAAAUACAAGCAGGAAAUGUGUGUGUCUCUGCAUAUAAAGAGCUAUAUAUUCAUGUCAAAAAUAGUUUGAGUUGAAAUUACAACCAUCUUCAUCAUUGUAAUGUCCAACCAUGAAUCAGGAUGUUCUUACUGUAGAGACUUUAGAAAUAAAUGAGGAACAAACUGUAA